AUUGAACGCUGGCGGCAGGCCUAACACAUGCAAGUCGAACGGUAACAGGAAGAAGCUUGCUUCUUUGCUGACGAGUGGCGGACGGGUGAGUAAUGUCUGGGAAACUGCCUGAUGGAGGGGGAUAACUACUGGAAACGGUAGCUAAUACCGCAUAACGUCGCAAGACCAAAGAGGGGGACCUUCGGGCCUCUUGCCAUCGGAUGUGCCCAGAUGGGAUUAGCUAGUAGGUGGGGUAACGGCUCACCUAGGCGACGAUCCCUAGCUGGUCUGAGAGGAUGACCAGCCAGACUGGAAAUGAGACACGGUACAGACUCCGACGGGAGGCAGCAGUGGGGAAUAUUGCACAAUGGGCGCAAGCCUGAUGCAGCCAUGCCGCGGGGAUGAAGAAGGCCUUCGGGUUGUAAAGUACUUUCAGCGGGGAGGAAGGGAGUAAAGUUAAUACCUUUGCUCAUUGACGUUACCCGCAGAAGAAGCACCGGCUAACUCCGUG
rnacentral:rRNA from 1 species